GCAGGUGCAGGAACCCAAGGGGGCGGCUCCGGGCAACAGCGGUGAUCGCGACAGUGAAACCAGAAAAAGUGUUCUUAUUUAAGACUCUUCACUGGGAAUUUUCUAGAAGACCUUAAACUAGAAAUGGUCCUCACUGCCUAGCUUGUAUAACUCACUGCACUUCACUCUGCUGGACAUUUUCCUAAGAAAUAAAUAUUCUGAAUUCUCCACCGGGAGCCCCUUGCAAAUGAAUCACGGCUGAACAAGUUCUGACAUCUCACUCUGUCCCCAAAAGAGAAAGAAGAAAUUCUCUAUGCUGUUCAUGUUUAUGGAAACUUCUCACAAGUAUUAAAGCUUUGCCAUUCCAGAAACAUAUGCCCACUCAACCCAACAUGCUUUGUCGGGUGUUGUGAAGGGAAACAAGGACAUUUAUUUAUUUAUUCAGUCAAUCUUUAUUCCUCUCCCCUCCCAAAAUGAUUUGAAAUUGCUUGCAGUAAGAAGACUUGCAAGAAGAAGGAAGAGGAAAAGGAAGAAGAAGACAAAAAAAAAAAAAAAAAAAGAAGGGCAAACAGUGAAGGGAGGAAAAGAAGGAGAAGAAAAACUUGAGGACUACUAAAAUGUCAACAGAACUAGAAAAUAGUAUCCAGAUAGAAGAAUAACAUCAUGAGAACCAGCAUCUUGAAUGCUGGUGAUCCUUGAAGGUAAAUGUCAAACUCAUCUCUGCUUAUAAGACUUGACUCCUGCCUUCUGAAAGCUUCUAUUAGCAGAGGAACUAAGAUAUGGACAUAAGUCAUCAAAGGGGUGAAAGAAAACCUUGAUCCUAACUGCAGUGGAACACUGUGAGUGUAUAUGUGGCUCUUGAACGGUACACGACUGCCUUGUAAGGAUUCUGACUAUUGUGUGAACUCCCCAACCACUGUCACAAAACAUGCCUGUGGAAACAUACUCUGAUGCCACAAGUGUACCUUAUAAGCUGGACCACAAAGGAGAUGCAGUGAGGUGGGUGAGUCUGAGUCUCAGCCCUGCCACCAACCAGCUACAUGACCUUCGUCGACUCACUUAACCUUAGUUUCUUAUCUGUAAAAUGGGGAUUAUAGGCUGCUCGCAGUGGCUCACACCCGUAAUCCCAGCAGUUCAGGAGGCCAAGGUAGGCAGAUCACCUGAACCCAGGAGUUCAAGACCAACCUGGGCAAUGUAGUGAGGCCCUGUCACUAUUUUUAAAAAAUACAAAUAACUUUUAAAAUAAUAAUAACAUAGGGAAUGAUAAUCAUAGUGGACUCAGAAUGUUGUUGCAUGUAAGGAAAUGAGUUAAUGCAGAAAAUGUACUUAGAACAGCAUCAUGGGACAUAGUAACCCCCUCCAACAGCACUGGAAUCUCCAUAUGGGUAAAAAAGUGACGAAUUUAAUUGCUUACCAAUUUGAGCAGUUAAAUUGCUAGCAAUGAAACUUCACACUAAGUUUAGCAAUUCCCUUUAGGGGGUGGAUUUUUAGUGAGGACAUGAGUAUCAUAUGUGUGUUUUCCAUUCAGCCAUUUAGCCUGGACUUCUAAAAUAAAGCAGUAAGGGUAUUUCAGGAGAUUUUGAAUUAUGAAUCUAGAAUGGAUCUGAAAUGUCCACCACUGAACCCUUGUGUAGAUAAGCAAAUUGAGGUUGGGCAGGAAUGGCCAAUGUUCCAUAAUAGUGCAAAGCUAGGACCCAGGAUGGACUCUUGAUUCUUGGUUCUUUGCUCUUUCUACAAGAAGGUAUGGACUAGACUGGGACUUAUUAUUGAACACUCUUGACUUGCCAGUCAUCUUGAA
rnacentral:lncRNA from 10 species